CUACGGGAGGCUGCAGUGAGGAAUUUUGCGCAAUGGGGGAAACCCUGACGCAGCAACGCCGCGUGAGCGAAGAAGGCCUUCGGGUCGUAAAGCUCUGUCAAGUGGGAAAAAAAUUCUUUGAUGAACAGUCAAAGGACUUGAUGGUACCACUGGAGGAAGCACCGGCUAACUCCGUGCCAGCAGCCGCGGUAAUACGGAGGGUGCAAGCGUUGUUCGGAAUGACUGGGCGUAAAGAGCGUGUAGGCGGUUUGACAAGUCAGAUGUGAAAGCCCCGGGCUCAACCCGGGAAGUGCAUUUGAAACUGUUUCACUAGAGUAUGGGAGAGGAGAUUGGAAUUCCUGGUGUAGAGGUGAAAUUCGUAGAUAUCAGGAGGAACACCCGUGACGAAGGCGAUUCUCUGGACCAAUACUGACGCUGAGACGCGAAAGCGUGGGGAGCAAACAGGAUUAGAUACCCCGGUAGUC
rnacentral:rRNA from 1 species